GCAUAUCAAUAAGCGGAGGAAAAGAAACCAACAGGGAUUGCCCUAGUAACGGCGAGUGAAGCGGCAACAGCUCAAAUUUGAAAGCUGGCUCCGGCCCGCAUUGUAAUUUGCAGAGGAUGCUUUUGGUGAGGUGCCUUCCGAGUUCCCUGGAACGGGACGCCACAGAGGGUGAGAGCCCCGUAUGGAUGGACACCAAACCUGUGUAAAGCUCCUUCAACGAGUCGAGUAGUUUGGGAAUGCUGCUCAAAAUGGGAGGUAAAUCUCUUCUAAAGCUAAAUACCGGCCAGAGACCGAUAGCGCACAAGUAGAGUGAUCGAAAGAUGAAAAGCACCUUGAAAAGGGGGUUAAACAGUACGUGAAAUUGUUGAAAGGGAAGCGUUUAUGACCAGACUUGCGCCGGGCAGCUCAUCAGGGGUUCUCCCCUGUGCACUCUGCCCGGCUCAGGCCAGCAUCGGUUCUCGUGGGAGGAUAAGAACGGUAGGAAUGUGGCCCCCUCUCGGGGGGGUGUUAUAGCCUGCCGUACGAUACUCCCGUGGGGACCGAGGUUCGCGCUCCGCAAGGAUGCUGGCGUAAUGGUCAUCAACGACCCGUCUUGAAACACGGACC
rnacentral:rRNA from 1 species